rnacentral:rRNA from 1 species
UUUCCGUAGGUGAACCUGCGGAAGGAUCAUUCAUGUUUUUAAAACAGUCUUUUAGGGGGGGUUGUAUGUGGACACACCGUUUGGUGCGUUUGCAUGCAUUCCCUCUAAUAGGCUACAACCAUUCCGGUGACCAUUCUAUACCUUUUUGUUGUUGUUGUACAACGAUGCUGUAAAACGCAUUGUUUACCACACACAACUCUUUUUUUUAUAUAUAAAACCCACCAUGAAAAACCACAACAGAAACGAAACCAAGAAAAUAAAACUCGUGACGGAGGAUAUCUUGGCUCCCACAUCGAUGAAGAACGCAGCGAAAUGCGAUACGUAGUGUGAAUUGCAGAACACGUGAGUCAUCGAAUCUUUGAACGCAAGUGGUGCUCGCGGGCAAUCCUGCGAGCAUGUCUGUUUGAGUGUCCGCACAAAAUACUCGCGCCUCUAUAUUUGUUAUGUAUAUAUAAGGGUGCGGCGAUUGGGUUAUUUUCAUCUGCUUCACUGCGGAAGACCCGGAAUGCAGUGCUUGGAAGUUACAUGGUGCGUCAGCCCCAUUUCCGUGUGCAUCAACAUAUCUGCGCGACUAUCUAGCGCGGAAAACCAGUGUUUAAAAACUAGCAAGCAAUGCGUGGUGCUUCGUUGCGUCUGCUGCGCUGAAAAGAAAGGAAGUCUGGACGGAAACGACGUCUCGGGACUCUCUCUGCUGGGAAGUAACUACAUUCCAGGGGGGGGGAGAUGAGGCGGGGUUUUUUUGCGAGCUGGACUGCCAUGAAAAAACUUUUCGGGGCACACGGUGGGAAAAGCGAUGGGAAAGCCGGUAAAAUGGUGAUUCUUUGGCGGAUCCUGCGGUGUAAAAGGCGGUGCGUGAGCGGGUGCUGUAUACUACAUGCGCAGUGCGUCACUGGCGGACUUUAUUUCUCGGAUCUCAAAUCAGGCAAGACU